rnacentral:rRNA from 1 species
GAUGAACGCUGGCGGCGUGCCUAAUACAUGCAAGUCGAGCGAACAGACGAGGAGCUUGCUCCUCUGACGUUAGCGGCGGACGGGUGAGUAACACGUGGAUAACCUACCUAUAAGACUGGGAUAACUUCGGGAAACCGGAGCUAAUACCGGAUAAUAUAUUGAACCGCAUGGUUCAAUAGUGAAAGACGGUUUUGCUGUCACUUAUAGAUGGAUCCGCGCCGCAUUAGCUAGUUGGUAAGGUAACGGCUUACCAAGGCAACGAUGCGUAGCCGACCUGAGAGGGUGAUCGGCCACACCGGAACUGAGACACGGUCCAGACUCCCACGGGAGGCAGCAGGAGGGAAUCCUCCGCAAUUGGCGAAAGCCUGACGGAGCAACGCCGCGGUAGUGAAGAAGGUCCUCGGAUCGUAAAACCCUUUUAUUAGGGAAGAACAAAUGUGUAAGUAACUAUGCACGUCUUGACGGUACCUAAUCAGAAAGCCACGGCUAACUACGUG